rnacentral:tRNA from 1 species
GCCUUCGUGGUAUAAUGGUCAGCACGCUCGACGUGUAUUCGAGAGGUCCGUGGUUCGAGUCCUGGAGAGGGCA